AUUGAACGCUGGCGGCAGGCUUAACACAUGCAAGUCGAGCGGGGGAAGGUAGCUUGCUACUGGACCUAGCGGCGGACGGGUGAGUAAUGCUUAGGAAUCUGCCUAUUAGUGGGGGACAACAUCUCGAAAGGGAUGCUAAUACCGCAUACGUCCUACGGGAGAAAGCAGGGGAUCUUCGGACCUUGCGCUAAUAGAUGAGCCUAAGUCGGAUUAGCUAGUUGGGGGGGUAAAGGCCUACCAAGGCGACGAUCUGGAGCGGGUCUGAGAGGAUGGUCCGCCACACUGGGACUGGGACACGGCCCAGACUCCUACGGGAGGCAGCAGUGGGGAAUAUUGGACAAUGGGGGGAACCCUGAUCCAGCCAUGCCGCGUGUGUGAAGAAGGCCUUAUGGUUGUAAAGCACUUUAAGCGAGGAGGAGGCUACUCUAGUUAAUACCUAGGGAUAGUGGACGUUACUCGCAGAAUAAGCACCGGCUAACUCUGUGCCAGCAGCCGCCGUAA
rnacentral:rRNA from 1 species